rnacentral:lncRNA from 1 species
GCAUUGAAAGUUCGCUAGGCCGGACAGAUCGUCGUGUUUAAGUUACGGUCUCGUCACAUAAGUAAGAGGAAAUGCUUAUAAGGCCACUGUUUAGGCUUCUCCCUUCUGACAUCUCUGUUAUACGCUGCACCAAUGUGUGAUGUGGCUUUUCGAUUGUACAUCAAUUAUGUAAAUCUAAAUUGAUAAAAUUUUGUACCAAAUAUACCUAAUAGUUUUAUCAUGUUACAUAAGUUCCUUUCUUUGGUAACAUCCUUUGUGGUCCAUAAACUAAUGCUCUUGGAUUGUUGUCCACUAUCAAUACUUUAUGUUUGGGACCAACUCUUUCUAUUUCUAGGCGAAGUGAAAUCAAAUUUAGCGCACCGAAUAAAUUCAUUAACUAAGAUAAAGUGGUCAUUACUCCCUUUGUAGCAAACAUGCACGUUGAGUCGAAUAUGGAUAAGUGGAAAAUAGGAAAUGUAACAACGAAUAAAUUAUUCGACGACGACUUAUAUUUAAU